rnacentral:rRNA from 1 species
GACAGAGGUGCCGAGCGUUAGGCGGAAUCACUGGGCUUAAAGCGUGUGUAGGCGGAUGCCUAAGUACCUUGUGAAAUCCCACGGCUCAACCGUGGAACUGCUUGGUAUACUGGGCGUCUUGAGCCACUUAGGGGCAACCGGAACAAACGGUGGAGCGGUGAAAUGCGUAGAUAUCGGUUGGAACGCCAAUGGUGAAAACAGGUUGCUGGGAGUGUGCUGACGCUGAGACACGAAAGCCAGGGGAGCAAACGGG